ensembl:rRNA 5S_rRNA 5S ribosomal RNA
GCUUGCGGCCAUACUACCCUGAAUGCACCCGAUCUCAUCUGAUCUCGGAAGCUAAGCAGGGUCAGGCCUGGUUAUUAGGUGGUUGACCUCCUGGGAAUACCAGGUGCUGUAAGCU